UGAAAACCUUGAUUUGUGAACUGCUAAUUUUGGAUUGCUGUCUUCAAUCCAACAUCUUCAAGUCAGAAUCAUUGUUAAAAUGACACAAGGAAGAGGAAUAUCAUUUGCAGAAUAAUGCUUGUUAAGAAUUUGCAUUUGAAGAUCCUUCAUGGAACACAUUAAUUUGUAUGGCAUGGUUAACCCUUUUCUCAGUUCUGCAAUUGCUAAAGUAUUGUUUGUUGUCUGAAAGUCAUUCUUAUUACAAUCUUUUUUCUUUUGAAUAAUUGAAAAUUUUGAUAACAUGAUUCCAAUUUUUUAAAUUGUUAACAUGUGUAAUACUCUUACUUUCAUGCAUCUAAAAUCCCUUAUUUUUUGUGGUUUGCAGUAAUGGGGAAGAUUACAACUAAA
rnacentral:misc_RNA from 1 species